UUGGAGGGCAAGUUUGGUGCCAGCAGCCGCGGUAAUACCGACUCCAAGAGUGUGUAUGAGAGAUGCUGCAGUUAAAAAGUCCGUAGUCAUAGAAGGGCAAAGAGAGAUGCGAGGUCUCACAGUGCGAUGAUGGAGGAGCCGAUGGGGAACAUAGUAUACCAGGGCGAGAGAUGAAAUGCCAAGACCCCUGGUGGACUGAGCGAGGCGAAGGCGAUGUUCUUGUAGGCAUUCGGUGAUCAAGGACGAAGGCUGGAGUAUCGAAAGUGAUUAGAUACCGCAGUAGUUCCAGCAGUAAAAGAUGCCGACAUGCUCAUUGGACACAGUGGGCAGGGAGAAAUCUUAGAGUUCGGGCUCUGGGGAUAGUAUGCUCGCAAGGGUGAAAAUUAAAGAAAUUGACGGAGCUACACCACAAGGAGUGGAUUGUGCGGCUUAAUUUGACUCAACGCGAGGAAACUUACCAGGGCCAAGUAUUGUGUAGAAACGAGCAAUACAGGAGUGGUGCAUGGUCGUUGGAAAUUGAUGGGAUGACUUUGACCUUAAAUGGUUGAAUGAGUGAGAUCUUUUGGACAUGUUCCGCACGGAACAGGAAGGAAAAGGCUAUAACAGAUCCGAGAUGCCCUCAGAUGCCCUGGGCUGCACGCGCAAUACAAUAGCAGGUAGAGAGAGAGACAGGAAGGUGCUCAGAUGGACUAUGUGCUGUAAGGCACAUACGAAAGAGGAAUUCCUAGUAAGUGUGUAUCAACAAUGGAUAUU
rnacentral:rRNA from 1 species